rnacentral:lncRNA from 1 species
UCUGGUGUAACAUCAGUUUUUCCUUAUUUUACAUCACAACCAAACUUGAAAUAUAAUUUAGAAAGAAGGGAAUUAGUAAAGCUGCAAGGAUUGUAUAUGCCUCAUGAUCAUCUCCAUUUUUGGGAUUCAACUUGUAUAUAUUUGCAGCACUGAACCAAUAAUUAGAACGCCAGAUCGAAAGAAGCAAUAUCAAGAACUUCGAUCCUGAUCACGAGUGUUUUCAGCAAUGGAAGAAGAAGCCACGGGAACAUCCAGUACUGUAUGUUUGGAAAAUGCAGGAGGUGAACGUGCAACAACACUCCCAGCUAUGUUCAUCCCAUUCAAUUUGCAAGUCCCGGAGCCUCUUUUCGGUAUAUAAGUGCAUGGAUUGGGCCUGGACGGAGUCACUGGCCCUUUUGGGAGGAAAUGAAACAACAACCCCUCCUGCUUUAGCCAUUGGAUUCCUAAUGGCCUCAUUGCACCGAGCUGCAGAGAAGCUGAAAGAAUCGACAGCAUGAAUAAGGUGGCGAACGCAUUUUUCCUGUGACAUAAACCCAUCUCUUAGAAAAAGAACAGAAUGUUGUUCUUAGUUUUUUUUUUUUUCCUUUCCCCUCGAUUGAUCACCUAAUGCUAUUCAAGCAGAAGACCGUUCAGAGGGAAAUUUGGUUACUACUAAUUUUUCUGAGAUGGAGGGAGAUAUUA